rnacentral:lncRNA from 10 species
ACCGCACCUAGCCAUACUUAACCAUUCUCUAUACAAAGAGAAAGUAUUGUAAUUAGGAUAUGAUCACUUCUUCGAAACUCAUUCUAGAAAAUAUUUUAUCCUUUAAAACUACAACACGAAGAAAGCUAAACUUCAUUUGAAUUUUCAUAAUAGACAUCUUUUUUGUGAAAAUGGAGUCAUUCACUGUUGACUUCUUUUUUUGUAGAUGGGGUGGGGUAAUAAGCCUUUAAAAUACUUCACCUCUUUCCUUAUAUGUUUUGGUUCUUAGUGGCAAACUCCAGCAAGAUGUUCAGAAAUGGCAAUUUCUUCCUUUUCUAGUGUUUUAGUGCUCUCCUGGUGAGGGCUGUUUCUCACCUAUAAAAACUGUGAGCAUAAGUCAUACACAGCCCCACCAUUCUCACCUUGGCUUGGAUCCUCCCUCUGGGGCCUGCCUUUACUCUUUCAGUUUUAUCUGGUCCACUCCUAAUUGGACUAAUGAAAAUUAACUUGCAAAUUGUGUGACAAGUAAUUAACUGAUGUUUGUAAAGUGCCUUGAAAAUGAAAGGUACUUUAUAAAUAUUAAGCAUUAUUGUGCUGAGCAAAAUGAGUACAGUAGGACUCCCCACUUAUCUGCGUUUCACUUUCUGUGGUUUCAGUUACCCGUGGUCAACCAACAGUCCCAAAAUACCUGAGUACAGAACAAUAAGAUAUUUUGAGAGACAUCACCUUCACAUAACUUUUAUUACAGUAUAUUGUUAUAAUUGUUCUGUUUUAUUAAUCUCUUACUGUGCUUAAUUUAUAAAUUAAAUGUUAUAUGUAUAUACGUAUGUAUAUAUAGGAAAAAUCAUAGUUUAUAUAGGGUCUGGUACUAUCCAUGGUUUCUGGCAUCCGCUAGGGGUCUUGGAAUGUAUCGCUGCAAAUAAAGAAAGACUUCUAUAUGGUAUUCUUUUAAAGCAGUUCUGCUGUGAAGCCAUACACUCGGCUACAAAUAGGCAACUGAACAGGAAAAAACAAGUGCAAGAUGCUGUUAAGACUUCCUGCGGUUUGGGCCAGGCAUGGAGGCUCCUAGGAAGCUUUAAGAACAUCAUUGGUAUUCAUUGGAAACAGAUAAGAGCACAGCAGUUUCUAACUUAAAUUUUUUCUGACUUAAAUUUU